rnacentral:lncRNA from 1 species
GCACUCCGUCUCUCCCCAUGAUUAUCUCCAGAUCCUCAGUUCUACUGCAUUCUGUCUCUCCUGAUUAUCUCCAGACCUGCGGUCCUGUUAGUCAGCAGCUGCCUGCAGAUGGGAUUGCCGGGUUACUAAGACAGUAAAGAAAGGGCGAGGCGAGCCUUCUGUCUGUUUAAAAUCCUUGCAGCCCUUUGCUUGCUGUUUUGAAAUGGUCUUGGAUGUGGUGUUUGGGAGGGGACCCAAAUGUCUGGCAGGAACUUUUCAGUCUCUGGAAUUGGAGGGACCACCAGACUUCCAGCUGCAGGGGAUGGUCUGCCCAGUAACAGGCUUUGGACUUCUGCCAGUUCUCCUGUAGGAAGCCCAGACUACCAUGCUUACACCAUCCUGCAGAGAGCCACAUUGUGGGAAGCAGAGACGCACCAUUUCUCACCAGUGAUCCCAGACCAGCUAGUCCACAAGAGCCCAGUAACAGGCCAAAGAUACCCAAGUGAGUCAGCUGGGAGCAAAGGAGUCACCCAGCCAAGCCCGACCUGCAUGGCUGAUUACAAGGUCUGUUUGUGGUCCUGGCUCUCCUGGCUCCCGAGAUACAGAUCAACUGGCCUCGAACUCACGGAGAUCCUACUGCCUCUGCCUUCUAGUGUUGGGAUUAGAGGUAUGUGUCACCAUGCCUAGCCCAUCCUUGUACUUAUUAGGAGUUUAGCUUCUGGCUGGAUUACCCAUCUCAGAGUGAAGUAAAGAUGGCAGCUUGUUCUCUACUGUCAGACAAGGACUUUAGCAAAAUCGGCCCCCCCUAGCUCCAGUCUUCUGGAAGAUUCUUACCACACCCUAAAGAGCCCACAGGAACCCUGACAUGUUUAAAUUGCUGACAAGGUGGGUGUGGAGGAAGCAGCUAUAAUGAAGAAGAAACCUUUCUUCUACAAGAAAGAGAAACCUUAGGCUCUUGCUGAGACAACAGGGAAGGAGCCCAGAGAGCAGGAUCCCAUGGAAGAGUCACACAGGAUGUGGACACUGAUCAGACCUGACCUGGCCUGGUCUUUGACUUUGCCUGUGUCAUCACGCCUGGGGUUGGAACUGCCCCACCCCCACCCAUGAAGACUCCGUCGCCCUUUCCAGGAAAUGUACAGACAAGAGCAGGAAACUGUUGAGUCGCCUAUUUUUCUUUCCCUGCAAAAUGGUUUUAUUAUUUUCGUUGAACAAAAACAUCCUAAUGUAUUGAGGAUGGAGAAGAGAAAGACACCCAGACCUUAAAAUAGACUCAAUACGCCUGU